rnacentral:rRNA from 1 species
UACAGAGGCCUCAAGCGUUAAUCGGAAUCACUGGGCUUAAAGGGUGCGUAGGCGGCGCUGCAAGUGCCUUGUGAAAUCCCAUCGCUUAACGAUGGAACUGCUCGGUAGACUGCAGUGCUUGAGGUUGGUAGGGGCUGCCCGGAACUCUAGGUGGAGCGGUGAAAUGCGUAGAUAUCUAGAGGAACGCCCAAGGCGAAGGCAGGCAGCUGGGCCAAAUUCUGACGCUGAGGCACGAAAGCGUGGGGAGCAAACGGG